rnacentral:rRNA from 1 species
AACGAACGCUGGCGGCAGGCUUAACACAUGCAAGUCGAGCGCCCCGCAAGGGGAGCGGCAGACGGGUGAGUAACACGUGGGAAUCUACCCAUCCCUACGGAACAACUCCGGGGAACUGGAGCUAAUACCGUACACGCCCUUUGGGGGAAAGAUUUAUCGGGGAUGGAUGAGCCCGCGUCGGAUUAGCUAGUUGGUGGGGUAAAGGCCUACCAAGGCGACGAUCCGUAGCUGGUCUGAGAGGAUGAUCAGCCACACUGGGACUGAGACACGGCCCAGACUCCGACGGGAGGCAGCAGUGGGGAAUAUUGGACAAUGGGCGCAAGCCUGAUCCAGCCAUGCCGCGUGAGUGAUGAAGGCCUUAGGGUUGUAAAGCUCUUUCGCCAGGGACGAUAAUGACGGUACCUGGAUAAGAAGCCCCGGCUAACUUCGUGCCAGCCGCCGCCGUAACAC